rnacentral:lncRNA from 1 species
CAGCGCUGAGGAUUUGGAGAAGGUUGCGACCGACCUCAGGGCCAGCAUCUGGAAGCAAAUGGCUGACGCUGGGAUCAAGUACAUCCCCAGCAACACCUUCUCGUACUAUGAUCAGGUUCUUGACACGGCUGCCAUGCUUGGUGCUGUCCCAGAGCGCUACUCAUGGACUGGUGGAGAGAUUGGGUUCAGCACCUACUUCUCGAUGGCUAGGGGCAAUGCCACUGUCCCUGCCAUGGAGAUGACCAAGUGGUUUGACACCAACUAGUAAGUCCUUUGCUUCCAUUUAAGCUGUCUGACAGUAACAUUUUAUUUAGAUUUCACAUUCAACAUUUUGCUAACUGCUGCUGUUGUGCCUUUACAGCCACUUUAUCGUCCCUGAACUUGGUCCCAACACCAAGUUCUCCUACUCUUCCCACAAGGCUGUGAAUGAAUACAAGGAGGCUAAGGCGGUAAGAUACUAGGAUUACAUCUUACGUCUCUGUCUGGUUCAUGAUUGUUUUCUCUGCCUGACUACAUAGGCGUUGCUAACACAUUCUUAUUGUCAUUAAUGUCUUAGUUCGUAAAGUUACUUAUUAGUUUAGCGUGUUGCUUUCUGCUAUUAUAGUGCAUUUGCUUAAUAAUUUUGUCCUAGAAAAGAAAUUCUGAUGUACAUUAAAUGGCAUGCUUACCAUGAUUUUUUUUGAAGAUUGUCACUCCUUCAGAUUGAUGGCCUGUAAAUCACAUGCCCUCCAAGUGACAGUUUGUUUAAGUUCAGUGUUAAUACUCGUGUCCAAGCAAAUUUUUGGCCCCUUGUUUAGUAUUUUGAAACUAGCAAUUUCAGAUUUGCAAAGACUAAAAUUCACUUUACAUUUAUGAAAUAAUGUUUUUUUAGCACUAUAUGUUGUUUCCAUCUUUCUCAAAAGAUGUCCAUGUUGUUUGUGGCGAAAUUGUCUGAUUUUACCUAUGCUUAAUUGGUGAGUUUACCUGAAACAUGCUUUGGUUGAAUUUACUAUCUUGUUCCAGUUUGUGAAUAGUAACAUUUCUAUUUUUAAGCAUCAAAUUCUGAAUUAAGUAGUAUUCCUUCUGGAUUGAAAAUCAUAGUGUUUUCUUAAAAAUUAAGAUGUAAUCUGGUCGUUUGUAUGUCUCAUGUAAUUGUUCUUCAUGCAGCUCGGCGUUGACACCGUGCCAGUACUUGUUGGACCAGUUUCAUACUUGUUGCUCUCCAAACCUGCCAAGGGUGUAGAGAAGUCGUUCGCUCUUCUUUCCCUUCUGAGCAGCAUCCUUCCUGUCUACAAGUAAGUGUACAAACAAGUCUAUAACUGCUGCUAGCGCUAAAUCUUCAGUUCAUAAUUUGAUGCAUGAUGAUUUGUAGGGAGGUUAUUGCUGAGUUGAAGGCAGCUGGUGCUACUUGGAUUCAGUUUGAUGAACCCACACUUGUUCUUGACCUUGACUCUCACCAAUUGGCUGCAUUCUCUGCUGCAUACACAGAACUUGAGUCGGCACUUUCUGGAUUGAAUGUGCUUAUUGAGACAUACUUCGCUGACAUUCCUGCUGAAUCAUACAAGUAUGUUUAUUUCCUGUACUAUCGUAUCAUUACCAAACCCGCCUUUCCUUUAGCAUGCUUUUUCUUUUUAGUGGCAGAACACUGAUACUGCCUUUUCACUGCAGGACCCUCACAUCCCUGAACAGCGUGACUGCUUAUGGUUUUGACCUUAUCCGUGGAGCCAAGACUCUUGACCUUAUCAAGAGUGCUGGUUUCCCCUCUGGAAAGUACCUCUUUGCCGGUGUUGUGGAUGGACGCAACAUCUGGGCUGAUGAUCUCGCUGCAUCUCUCACUACCCUUGAGUCUCUUGAGGCUAUUGUUGGAAAGGGUAAGCAAUUAAGCAUGAAGUUAUUAUAUCUGUUAUAUUUUAAUAGGUACAAUUUGCUGUAUCCAAUAAUAUCCUCAAUUUCUGCACAUCCAACAAUACCUUUCAUUUCUGCAGACAAGCUUGUGGUCUCGACUUCCUGCUCACUCAUGCACACCGCUGUGGAUCUUGUAAAUGAGACCAAGCUCGAUAGCGAGAUUAAGUCAUGGCUCGCUUUUGCUGCCCAAAAGGUGGUUGAGGUGAAUGCCCUUGCUAAGGCAUUGGCUGGACAGAAGGAUGAGGUAUGGUACUCUCUUUCACCCUUUAUUUAUUCUCUCACCUCUUAGUAAGAGAUCAGGCUUAGUUCUCAAUAUUAUUCGGAGAAACUUCUGCUGCUGCUCAGGCUUACUUUUGUACAUUUGUAAACAAUAUUGUACAGGCUUACUUUGCAGCAAACGCUGCUGCUCAGGCCUCCAGGAGGUCAUCACCUCGUGUGACAAACGAGGAAGUCCAAAAGGCUGUAAGUACCUUGCGUUUUUGGCCAGCAUUUGCUGAUUUCAUAUCAACAUAACUUCACAUGUUUUUCUUAAACACAUGAUAUUGUUUGUGAAGGCUGCUGCUCUGAAGGGGUCUGACCACCGCCGUGCUACCAAUGUUAGCGCUAGACUGGACGCACAGCAGAAGAAGCUCAACCUUCCAGUCCUUCCUACAACCACAAUUGGUUCAUUCCCACAGACUGUGGAGCUCAGGAGAGUCCGCCGUGAGUACAAGGCAAAAAAGUGAGUAACAGUCCACAUCAACGCUUCACUUGUUUCCCUUCUUUCGUCUAUAUUACUCAUAGCAAAAUACUGCUACAGGAUCUCUGAGGAGGAGUACAUCAGUGCCAUCAAGGAGGAAAUCAGCAAGGUUGUUAAGAUCCAGGAAGAGCUUGACAUCGAUGUCCUUGUUCACGGCGAGCCUGAGGUCAGUAUCCUUGUGUACUGUUUGUGUUUUCUAGACUUUGCACCUGGCUGUUUGAGAAAACAAAAUAAAUAUAUUUAUUGAAGCAUUAACAAAGUUUGGUUUGUUCUGCAUUGAAGUAAGCUAAUUGGCAUGUAUUUUAUACUUUCAGAGAAACGAUAUGGUUGAGUACUUCGGUGAGCAGCUUUCUGGUUUUGCAUUCACUGCCAACGGAUGGGUGCAAUCUUAUGGAUCACGGUGUGUCAAGCCACCAAUUAUCUAUGGUGAUGUGAGCCGCCCCAACCCCAUGACUGUGUUCUGGUCCAAGUUGGCGCAGAGCAUGACCUCUCGCCCCAUGAAGGGAAUGUUGACUGGUCCCGUCACAAUCCUUAACUGGUCUUUUGUCAGGAAUGACCAGCCGAGGUCAGUGCCUGUUGUUGAUAAUGUAAUCUAAUUUGUUCUGGUUGUGAAUGAGCAUUCUUUUCUGAGUCUGACAUUCAUACGCUGGCUCAGGUUUGAGACAUGCUACCAGAUUGCUCUUGCCAUCAAGAAGGAGGUCGAGGACCUUGAGGCUGGUGGUAUUCAGGUUGGUCCUGUUCUAUAAUUUGGUUCUCAAGAGAAUCUUGCUUACGUUUUUUUAAUGGUCCUUUGCAGGUCAUCCAAAUCGAUGAGGCUGCUUUGAGAGAAGGUCUGCCACUCCGCAAGGCGGAGCAUGCUUUCUACUUGGACUGGGCUGUUCACUCCUUCAGAAUCACCAACUGCGGUGUUCAGGACACCACCCAGGUAAUUUGCCUUGAUUACACUGUCGCUGGAGCCUCGCAUUGUCAUCGCCUAUCUUCUGGAGCUAAGAAAUUUCUCUUUGACAGAUCCACACCCACAUGUGCUACUCUAACUUCAACGACAUCAUCCACUCCAUCAUCAACAUGGACGCUGAUGUGAUCACCAUCGAGAACUCCCGGUCCGACGAGAAGCUGCUCUCCGUCUUCCGCGAGGGUGUGAAGUAUGGUGCUGGCAUUGGCCCUGGUGUCUAUGACAUCCACUCCCCAAGGAUCCCGUCCACAGAGGAGAUUGCGGACCGCGUCAACAAGAUGCUCGCGGUGCUCGACACUAACAUUCUCUGGGUGAACCCUGACUGCGGUCUCAAGACCCGCAAGUACAACGAGGUCAAGCCCGCCCUUACCAACAUGGUUUCGGCCGCCAAGCUCAUCCGCACCCAGCUCGCCAGCGCGAAGUGAGGAUAUCCAUAGCUGCAAGUUCCCUUCGGUUGCGAGGACGAUGCCGUCAUAGCCAUCUGUUUUUGAAUAAUCUGGGUCCAGUGGAUCCAAUUGUCUGUGGUUAGGUUUAGUCAGUCUCGGUGGGAAGAUCCCUCAUACCCGUUUUACUUUUGAAUCAAUUUGGUGGUUUUUGAGGCAGUUUGUCGGUGUAUUUGUAUUGUGUGUAAUCUGAGUGGGAAUCAGCAGUGUUUCAUCUGCAUCUGAAUCGUUGCGGAUCAAAUUACAAAAUUUUCAAGGAGAGUUCUUGAUGUUAUGGUCUUCCAACUACCUAAGUGUUUUGUGUCAGUUGUUCACCUGAGUUGAGAGUGGUUGAUUUCUGAUGAUUCCUUGCUGGUGGAGAUCACUUUGCAUUUUAUUUAGAUAUAAAGCCAGUCACUUGAAAUAGUUAGAUGUUGGGAUUUGAACACAUUGUUGUAAGCAUGCAACAUUAGCAAACUGUUCAUGGUCAUUUCUGGUCUGGUUGCUUGGAUCAGGACAUGAAAUGGAUUGAAAGUGGAACAAAAGUAUGCUUGCAAUGAGCAGUACCAUUUUGGUUAUUGUGGUCUUUGAGUGUAUGCAUUUGCAUUGCAGGUGGUGUUAAUUUACAUGUAAAUCUCAUUAGCUUAACAAAUACUGUACUUAAUUACAUAUCACAAUUGGCAAAUUCAUGCUCUUUUUCGUCAGAGACAUGAGAAGAGUGGCUGUCUUGCUUCUUUCUAGCUACCACGGUGCGACACGGGACAUGAGUCAUGACAAGCACCGUCGUAUGGGUCCACGCAUGAAUCUAUUAAAAACCUAUUAAAAACGUUUUCUUAUAAUGUGAAACGGGUGUUCCAUCGGUUGCUCAUAUUUCCUAAUAAAUUUAAACAGCUUAUUAGGGAAUAAAAAUUAUUUUAUACAUAAAACUUUUAUAUAUUUGUUCGUAGCGAAUUAAAAGUCAAUGAUAAAAAAAAUUACGUUAAAAAUAUCUCAAAAAUCAAUUUCCAAAUCAAGUUGAAAAUUUUAAAUUUUGGUUUAUUAGGCGAACCGACGGGGGUUUAUUGGAUCAUGACAUGUUUCAGCGUGUGGCCUUGACAAAGAUAGUGAUGUGCAAGUAGAAAAUCCAUGGAAAUUAUCGACGAGUUUUUAGUUUUGACCCCAGCACAGAGAUGAUUGGCUCUAUCUACUACUCCAUCUUUGGUGAAUCACAGCCAUAAUAAUUUUUUUUUCUGUUCAAAAUCUGAAUUUUGUGACUGCACUCCCAUUUUCACCCAAGUAAGUGUGAACUUCCCCUGAUUGCAACCUUGAAAAAAUGAAGUGCAUAUGCAUAGAGUCAGAAUAACAUUUCAUUAUCCACCAACCCCCAUGGGAGUUAGGAGCGCCUAACAUUUCUUCUUCUUUGAUAUCCACCAACCCCCAUGGCCCCACAUAAGUAAGCAUCAUUGAUCAACUCCCCUCUACCAUGACAUGAACACAUAAACUCCUGCCUAAUAUUCUCAACAAAAUGGACUUCCCAUGAUACAAAAAUACUCAACUUCAUGCAUGCAAAAUGAGGAGAUAUUUGCAGCUAAGGUGACCCCAUCAUGGUUGUUAAGAGUAGGAGGAGCACCAAUUGAAGGAUUUCAAGUAUAUUCCAUGUUCAUUCUUGAUUGGCACGAUCUAAUCAAGAUUCCAGUAGUUUCAAAAAAGAAAAAAAAAGAAAAUCAAGAUUCCAGUGAAGCACUUUAAAUUUCCACUACUCCUACUGCUCCAGUCUCCACAUGGUUUGCAUUGAGUUCUAAGAUAGUCAGUGCUCAGUACCAUGUUGUAUAUGAUGAACAUUCAUUUGCAUUUGGAGUUGGACAAAAGGAGUUCUGCAAAUGUAAACUGAGUUUCAGACUUUUUAUACAUUUCUGAUUUCAGUAACAUUGCAUCUACAGCAUAAACGAUCUGCUUAACUUUAUGGCUAACUUUAUACAUUGGUUGGCUAAACUCUUGUUAGAGUACUUCCUAAGUGGGAUUUGGUAUAAGUAAAGGUUCAUUGAAUCCAGACAUAUUGCAGACUAUCCCAGAUCGACAAAAAACUGUGGCUUGAAAGUUCAGUCACACCUCAUCUCAAGAAAAUUUCCUCUCCAAGCUCUUCUCAGGAUUCAUCAAAAGUUGGUUAAUUUACUGAACCCAAAGCCAGACACAAUUUUAUUUUUUCAAGGAGCUUGGAUCCAACACUGAUGUGAUUAAAAAACCCCAAACCUGGAUCAAAUAAAUCUUGUACUACUACAAUAGUACUCUACUGUACUAGUACUGCAACUACAAACAAGACACAUGAAGACAAUGUCACGUGAAGAUCUGCCAUUGGUCCGUGCUGCCUCCAAUGGCGAUAAAAAACUGUUUACUUUGUCGGUAACUGUAAUUAGCGACUGAUAAUUCGUGUUUACUUAUUAUAAGCUUGAGGCUCUAUAUGUUGCAGGACAGCAUGGACAGCAAUCAUGCAAGAACGUGCUAUCACAGUCAGUACUCACAGCCUCUUGUCCCUUUCUAUGGGAAUAUAAUAGUCCCUUCAAUUCUUUUUCUUAAUUUUUCUCCUCUAAAAUGAAUGACUGAAUUGUCUAAAUUAAGUUGUAUGCGAGAUUGUUUGUGCAGCAUUUUAAGGUAGACUAUAGUGGAGAAUUUGUUGGUGUUCAGUUUUCUCUUUUGAGAAAUAGUGUCAUCAGUAUGUUUUACUAGCUUGUACCCAAAAUUUCCCUACUUCCUUAUUUAUCAUUUAAAAUUGUCUCUUCCACUGUGUUUUCAUAAUUUUAAGAGGGUGGGUAGACAGGAAUCAAAGUGGUAAAGAGCUUUAGUAAAAUGUCUAGAUCCCUCACAGAUUCCUUCACAAAUUAUUCAAGAGGACUGAAUUCUCUGGAUACAAAAUAUUUCUUUGUUGAUCGUAUCUCAUAUCACAAUCCAUUGGAAAAGAUGGAGGGUAAUUCCAAAGGAAAAGUGUAUACUGGACUAAACUAAAUUAAACAAUUUUUAAACUUCACACAAAAUGAAACUAUGACAACCGUGCAAGAGCCUCCAGGCCACCAUCUCACCAACCACAGCCUCUCUCACCAACUCUGCUCCUCCAAUUGUUAAUUUAAGGAGAGAAUGACUUUUCUUUUAGCUAAUAACUAUACUAAUACUAUAUUUGUGCUCAAUAAUUACGUGACUUUCGGCACUAAAAAAAUGGAGUUACAUUUGUACAUGUAUAGCUAGCUAGCAUUAGCCCAUAAUACGAUGUGGUAAACCAUUAUUUAAUUUAGUCGUCAUGCCUCAUCAUGCAUAAACGUGGAAAAGGCAGACAAACUUUCUCAAAGGCAGCUUUUUUUGUUUUUGGUGGAAACACAAUUGGCUUGAGUUGGGUACAUGAUCAUAGCUACACACAGAAAAAAAAACUUCUGAAAUAAUCAGAUAUGUAAACCUUAGCUAACAAUAAACAAUUAUUUUUGAACAGCUUGGUCAGAAUAUAUUUUCAAACAACAGUAAUGAAAAACAGGUCAAACUUACAACAAAUAAUAUGAAAAAUAUUUCUCCAUUUUCUUGAGAAAACAAAUCAAAUCACAACCCACAUGUAUAUUUGAAACUACUAUUAAAAAUGGAUAUUUUAGCCACCGAGAUAUUACAUAAUAAUUUCUAAAUUAGUUUUCUAUGCGGCAAGAGAUGAGGAUCAUAAUCAUUAAAAGUAUGCAUAUUAUGAUACUAUGUUAAGUGGAACAAGUCCUAAUUUGUAGUGAUCCAUCAUUUAACCUGGACAAUUAAUCUCUACCCACACUAAAAUGGUGCAAGCUUAGCUACACAUCAUACACAGAAAAACACAAUAUUGCACAAUCUAGAGAUGCCGUAGACUCGAAUAGUCAUUUUCCAUGUAAAUAUGAUAUUAUAAUUAACUCAUGCGUAGGCUAAUGUAGCAAUAGGGAUAUGGACAUUGUCAAAAGUGGUUUAAAAGAAGGUUAAUUAUGAUGAUAUGUGGUAACUGGAGCACGACCUAAUUUACGGUGAUCAUCCAUAACUUAACAUUGACAAUUACUCUUACCGACAAUAAAAAAAGGUUCAUGACUAAUGAAAUACUACCAGAUUUGAGUAUUGUACUGCACAAGCUGGUGUACUUGCACGACACAAACUUGUUUUCAGAUAAAUAUCCCAUACUGCAAUACUUUUGAAUACAUAUUUUUGUAAAUGGAGAUGUCAUUGGAGCGGUCCGAAGAACUAUGAUGACAUGGUAACUCAAGUACGACCUAAUUUACAGUGAUCAUCCAUAACUUAACAUUGACAAUCAAUCUUACGGUCUUACCAACACUAAAAAGGCUCAUGGUGAAAUGAAAUGCUACCAUAUUUGAGUAUUUGACAUGGGACACCCCAUACCAACUUGUUUUUAGGGGGAAAAUAAAUAUUUAGGACUGGUUUUGUCUGGGGCUUGACCUUAACAAUUUUUGCUAAUGUUAAAUUUCGGCAUAGCCUCUUUUGACAAUGUAAUACUAUUAAAAAUACCAAAUAUUUGUAAGGCCAAUUUAGGCCACAAAUGAAACCAACCUGAAUCUCUUUUAUUAAUAUAUUCUUAUUCUAUAUCCUUUAUAAAUGAAUUUCCCUAAAAAAUUAGCCCCAAUCCUAUAUGCUUAAUCCAUAAAUUAUUCUAACCAUCAACUAAAAAAACCCUAAAAAAGUUUAUUCUUGCAAUUGCUCAUGAUACCCUCUUGUAGCUCAUAGGUAUAUUUUUUCUAAAGUUCAAUAUUGUCGACGAGUGAUACUCGCGGACCGGAUGAGUAGAGUAUUGGGGUACGUUGGAACGAGGGUUUACAUAGUACGACAUCAAAGCAGACAAAAGGCAAGGAUUAUACUGGUUCAGACCCUUAUCAGGUAAUAGCCCUAGUCCAGUUUAUAUGGGAUUGAUGAUGAUGAGAACAGAUUACAAAGAGAGUAGUCAAAACAGAUGAUACCGACGAGAUCGUAGUCGAGGGUUUCGACGAGAUCUCUCGGCAAGUUGGCUCCGCGUACUCCAGCUUCGUAAGCUUUGGUGGGUGUGUUGGCGAAGAGAUUCUGAUCCGAACCUCUCCCAAGGGGUCCCCUUUUAUACCGUGAGUCAUCUUGAUCCCCAAGAAAGGUUUUGAGGAUAUCGGACCUGGGACGGUCUAACGGAAACUUUAUCCCUUACGAGUAGAACUUUAUAAAUCACUUGACUCGUAAAGAUAUUUUCCUUAAUUUGAAGUAACUUCCAUACGACAUAUAUGUAAAUAAUCCGUAUACGUAAAGGUAUACCAUAUUGGUAUAUUUCACAAGUCGCAGGAUAGAAGGUAUGCCUUAUCCGUAACCCUGACAAAUAUCCCUCUUACUAACUAGAAAUAAAAUAAUUAGUUCAAACUCCCAAAAUGGUGCUAUCUAUAUAGACACUAUAUAUAUUACCAUUUGCAAAAAAAAAAAGAAGAAGAAGAAGAAGAAGAAAAAUAUUCCCUUCAUUUUUAUCUAGUUGACGCGGGUUAGUUCCAUUUUGCACUAACCAACAUCAAAUUUUUUAAAAAGGAGGGAUUGUAUAUUAUCACAAUAGUUUUUAAUACAUACAUGGGAAAGGCCAAAAGUCGCAUAACAACAAAAGGGUAAAUGUGCUUUUCAUCGAAGAAAAAGAAGUUCAAAAUCUACCCUUAGUCCAAAUGAUCAUGACAAACAAAAUAGGACAUAAUCCCUGCGGUUCCAUAAUUCUUGACGUCCUUACCAAUAACACAGGGCAUCAUUUUUUCGCUUAUGCUUAUAUUUAUCAGCCAAAAUUUGAAUUUUCAACCUUAAAUUUGGAGCUGAUUUUAAGGAUUUUUUUUUAUCGAAGUUUAUUUUUCAGCUUUUGCUUUUAGAUCGCUAAGAACGCACAUAUAAAAAUUUUAUUCACAUACUACUUUUCGUUUGCAAAUAUGCCAUUUCGCUUAUUCCGAGAAUAAGUGAAACAAUGGCUCCAAUAGUCUUUAAAAUAUAUCUUUGAUUAUGUUUUUAUCUUAAAUAUAUAUACAUAUAUAAUAAAUAAAUAUAAUUUUACUUUUAUCAUAAUAUUUUUGAAAAAUAAAUAUCUCUAUGUAUAUUGUUCUAUUAUAUUUAUAAACUAAAUACUUUUAAAUUAUUUGUACUUCUAAUUAAAUUUAUAAAAGUUUCACCUCGACCGAAUUAUGAAACCGUUGCGAGUAUAAGAGAAAACACAAUCUUAACAAAACAUUAAGAUGAAAAGGAUGAAACUUUUCAUCUUAAAAAACCGUGCACAAAACACAAUCCUAAUAAGUACUUCAUUCGUUUUAUAUUAUAAGACUUUCUACCAUUUCUUUUAUUUAUAUAGAUGUUAAUGAAUUUAUACGUAAUAUGAAACGGAAUGAAGUAGUAAAACAUUCAGAUGAAAAAGAUGAAACUUUUCAUCUGAAAAACCGUGCACCACCAGAUGAGCCUCUGCUUUCAGAUCUCACCAACCAACCAAAAAAAAAAAUCUCCUCUCUUCUUAUAUAAAUAAGGAACUCUCCCAAACCCCUCUUCUCCGUCCUCCUCCUCCUCCUCCCUCGCCGUCCGCCGCCGCCGCUCGCUUCCUCCCCUCUCCCACGGUAAGCCCGCGCCGCCGCUCUCUCCCUCUCCUCCGUCACCCUUCCCUUCCUCCGAAUCGGCCGAGUCUGUCAGCGACGGAGACCGCGCCGGGAUCCGUGCCCAUUCGCGUAGUAGCGGCGAGCGACGGUUUUUUUUUUUUUUGCCUGCAAAGUCGGUCGCUUUCGUGUGGCGUCGGGUCGGGGAGAAUGGAUCGAUCUGUUCGUCUUGAUCGGAUGGAUUGAUCGAUCAAUCGAUCUUGGUGGGAUCCGAUCUGAAUGAGGUUUUUGGGUUAGGAAAUGGAGUGAAAGAUUGGACUUUUUUUUUUGUCGGUGUGUUGCACGGUUCGUUUAGGAUUGGAUCUGUGUUUUCUUCCGUGGAAAAUCUUCCAUUUUUCACUGCAAGUGCACAUUUGUGGCCUCUUCAGUACUUGUGUUUCUAAACCCGGGGGGUUUUUGGAUCUGACACCGAGGUUUAGUCCGUGUUGUCAUAUGUUUUUUCUCAAAUUCUGUUACGAUAUUCUCCUAUUAUAAAUGCAUUACGGUGUACUAGACCCUGUGAUCUGUGGAGUACAUGUUAAGGUCGUGCUUCCAGUACCAUCGCAUCUACUGUCAUUUGGUUGCCAUCUCGUAUUAUUUGGUUAGGAAUUUGCAAUUGCCUGCAUGCUAAUAAAUGAAUUGUUGUUUGUAUGGCAUGCCAAACAAGAUCCAACUACUUUGCUGCUGGUGUGAGAGGGACAGUGUCUCCCACCAAUUGUAGUUGGUCUUAUGUACCCACCACUUUGGGCUGGGUCCUACUACAUGCUAGUGCUGGUUGGUGGUGUACCUAACCCAUAUACUAGUAUCAGUUUAGUCUAUUCUUUUAGCACCACUGGAUCUGGUGAUAUAGCCCCAUGUAUAGGAAUCAGGAAGAUUAGUAGAACAGAAAACACAAAAGUAUGCUUUAAUAGUUGGAUGGCAUAUACCUUUAUUCGGAUCACCGUUCCAAAUGUGACGUUAGUAUCCGUUAGUGGCAUGCUUUUUAAUCUAACAAGGCGUUCUUCAUCGUGUGGUUAGCAUAUGGAUAUGUGUAAUCUUGUUAGCUAAAUCAUAAUUUUCGUAUGUAUUCACAUGACAUUUCGAUGAAUCAAACUGAUCGUAGUACAAUUGUUUCUAUAGAAAGAUGGCGUCUCACAUUGUUGGAUACCCCCGCAUGGGCCCCAAGAGGGAGCUCAAGUUUGCCCUGGAGUCUUUCUGGGAUGGGAAGAGCAGCGCUGAGGAUUUGGAGAAGGUUGCGACCGACCUCAGGGCCAGCAUCUGGAAGCAAAUGGCUGACGCUGGGAUCAAGUAUAUCCCCAGCAACACCUUCUCGUACUAUGAUCAGGUUCUUGACACGACCGCCAUGCUUGGUGCUGUCCCAGAGCGCUACUCAUGGACCGGUGGAGAGAUUGGGUUCAGCACCUACUUCUCGAUGGCUAGGGGAAAUGCCACUGUCCCUGCUAUGGAGAUGACCAAGUGGUUUGACACCAACU